ACCAGGCGCGGUGGCGCGUGCCUGUAGUCGCAGCUACUCGGGAGGCUGAGGCAGGAGGAUCACUUGAGCCCAGGAGUUCCUGGGCUGUAGUGCGCUAAUGCCGAUCGGGUGUCCGCACUAAGUUCGGCAUCAAUAUGGUGACCUCCCAGGAGCGGGGGACCACCAGGUUGCCUAAGGAGGGGUGAACCGGCCCAGGUCGGAAACGGAGCAGGUCAAAAAACCUCGCAGUGCUGAUCAGUAGUGGGAUUGUGCCUGUGAAAUAGCCACUGCACUCCAGCCUGGGCAACAUAGCGAGACCCCGUCUCUU
rnacentral:SRP_RNA from 1 species